GGCUGUACCACGUAAUGAAGCUCCAAAUGAUCAACCUUCAGUGCCUCAUCCUUCUGGGGUUCUGCCUAGUACUGAGGCUCCGAAUAAUCACCCUCUGGUGACUCCUCUUUCUGGGGCUCUGCCGACUGCUGCGACUUCUCCUGAGCAACCUUUGUGAAGGCUCCCUCUUGUUUGUUUAUUUUGAUUCAUGUAUAUGUACAUAUUUGUAACUUAUUCGAGAUAUCAAUAAACAAGCUUUGCUUCAUUUCAACGUAUUGUGUUAAAUACACCAAGGUCUUCUUCAUUAAGUUCUUUGAAUUUUUCCUUUUGUUGAAGCUUUAUGAGUGAAGCAUGUAGGUUGAGGUAGUGCUCCCUUAAUUUCCCGAGUGAGGAAAACUUCUUGUUUGGAGACUUGAAAAAUCCAAGUCACUGAGUGGUCGUGAGACUUCCAAGUAUCAAGGUGCA
rnacentral:lncRNA from 1 species